AUGCCGAUUAUCGUCAAGAGGUUCGUGGACUGGACGGUGUCAUGGUUGCCGAUGUACGGAGAGGCGAAGCUGCUGCUCAUCAUCUACCUCUGGCACACCAGCACACGGGGUGCGGGGCACGUGUACGAUGGCUUCCUCCAUCCGCUGGUGUCGUGGCAUGAGGCCGACAUCGACCGGGGCCUGCUUGAUUUGAAGGCGAGGGACGUGACAGCAUCACAACUUAAGGCGGUGGCUGCCAUCGGUCAAGUGUGGCUCCUCGAGGCUGCCCGCUGUGUUUCGUCGUAG
rnacentral:rRNA from 1 species